UACGAAGGGGGCUAGCGUUGUUCGGAAUUACUGGGCGUAAAGCGCGCGCAGGCGGCCAAUCAAGUCAGGGGUGAAAGCCCGGAGCUCAACUCCGGAAUUGCCUUUGAAACUGAUCGGCUUGAGUACGGGAGAGGUGAGUGGAAUUCCCAGUGUAGAGGUGAAAUUCGUAGAUAUUGGGAAGAACACCGGUGGCGAAGGCGGCUCACUGGCCCGUUUCUGACGCUCAGGCGCGACAGCGUGGGGAUCAAACAGG
rnacentral:rRNA from 2 species